UGCAUUUUGGCCCAUGUCACUUGGGUGCCAUCCAUGGAAGACUGAGAGAGGAUAAUUGAAAAGACUGGACUCCUAAAAUUAAAGUACAAGACCAAAUGGUUUUCCUGUCGCACGAGGGAAUCAGUGGGCAGUCUAGAUACCCAAGGCUAGAGGGAC